AGUGAACGCUGGCGGUAGGCCUAACACAUGCAAGUCGAACGGCAGCACAGUAAGAGCUUGCUCUUACGGGUGGCGAGUGGCGGACGGGUGAGGAAUACAUCGGAAUCUACUUUUUCGUGGGGGAUAACGUAGGGAAACUUACGCUAAUACCGCAUACGACCUACGGGUGAAAGCAGGGGAUCUUCGGACCUUGCGCGAUUGAAUGAGCCGAUGUCGGAUUAGCUAGUUGGCGGGGUAAAGGCCCACCAAGGCGACGAUCCGUAGCUGGUCUGAGAGGAUGAUCAGCCACACUGGACCUGAGACACGGUCCAGACUCCUACGGGAGGCAGCAGUGGGGAAUAUUGGACAAUUGGCGCAAGCCUGAUCCAGCCAUACCGCGUGGGUGAAGAAGGCCUUCGGGUUGUAAAGCCCUUUUGUUGGGAAAGAAAAGCAGCAGGUUAAUACCCCGCUGUUCUGACGGUACCCAAAGAAUAAGCACCGGCUAACUUCGUG
rnacentral:rRNA from 1 species